GGAGCAGGCCAGACAGUCGCGUCAUCCUUCGGGAUGCCGAGGAAAGUCCGGGCUCCACAGGGCAAGGUGCCAGGUAACGCCUGGGCGGCGCAAGCCGACGGAAAGUGCAACAGAAAGAUACCGCCGAACGGCCUUCCGGGCGCGUGGCAAGGGUGAAAUGGUGCGGUAAGAGCGCACCGCGAGUCUGGCAACAGACCGGUACGGCAAACCCCACCUGGAGCAAGACCAAAUAGGGACCUCAUGACGCGGCCCGCGUCGGGUCCGGGUAGGUUGCUUGAGCGUCACGGUGACGUGGCGCCUAGAGGAAUGACUGUCCACGACAGAACCCGGCUUAUCGGCCCGCUCCGCCC
rnacentral:RNase_P_RNA from 1 species